UACGUAGGGUGCAAGCGUUAAUCGGAAUUACUGGGCGUAAAGCGUGCGCAGGCGGUUGUGCAAGACAGAUGUGAAAUCCCCGGGCUUAACCUGGGAAUUGCAUUUGUGACUGUACGGCUAGAGUGUGUCAGAGGGGGGUAGAAUUCCACGUGUAGCAGUGAAAUGCGUAGAGAUGUGGAGGAAUACCGAUGGCGAAGGCAGCCCCCCUGGGAUAACACUGACGCUCAUGCACGAAAGCGUGGGGAGCAAACAGG
rnacentral:rRNA from 1 species